rnacentral:lncRNA from 1 species
CUCAUAAUCCCACAUAAGAUAAAAAUAUAUAUAUAUAUAUCAUUAAAAAUUUAAAAAACAAAGAUUCUGCUGACAAUAAUUAAAUUUAAGAGUUAAUUGCAUACAUCUCUCUAAAAAUAUAGCAAAUAACAAAUAUAUAUAUCUAUAAAGUUCAACUUUUCAUAUUUAUUCCUACAAAAGUUCUUACGUUUUCAAAUAUAUCCACGUUAUUAGAAUCCGUUAGGAAAAUAUAGUUAAUCAAAAUUAAAUACUUAAUUUUGAUUAAUAAAUAAGGUAAAUUGAUCUUUUUACCCCUCUCAUACUAUUUAUAACGGUAGAAAGGAAGAAGAUGGCUGUUAAAAAUUUUUAGGAUGAUAUUUCUGCAUAAUUCUAACAAUUGGCGCUUUUAGAGGGACAUAUUUGUAAUGGCAAAAAUGUCAUUUCACUUAUCUUUUAUUAGAAAAUAAGUCGUACUCUAACAAUAACAAUCAGAUGGACAAAUAUAAAUAUUACUGAACUUUUGUAGUGAUAAAUAUAAAAAUUUAUACUUUGUAUAAAUAUAUUUGUUAUUCGAUAUGUUUACAUGAAGCUAGCUGUAUAAAAUUAACCCUAAAUUUAAAUAUUUUGAGCAGUUGGUUUAAAUCCAACAAGUCAUGAGUGCUAGCGGACUAGAUCAUUUUAUUCGUUCGGAGCUCCAAUAAUUCCUCAAGGGAUGAAAAACAAAAAAACCAAAAUCGCUAAUAAUAAUAAUAAUCAAAUUUAAUUAU